rnacentral:rRNA from 1 species
UACGGGAGGCAGCAGUGGGGAAUAUUGGACAAUGGGCGAAAGCCUGAUCCAGCCAUGCCGCAUGAGUGAAGAAGGCCUUCGGGUUGUAAAGCUCUUUUAGUGAGAAAGAUAAUGACGGUACUCACAGAAGAAGUCCUGGCUAACUCCGUGCCAGCAGCCGCGGUAAUACGGAGAGGGCUAGCGUUAUUCGGAAUUAUUGGGCGUAAAGAGCGCGUAGGCUGAUUAGUAAGUUAAAAGUGAAAUCCCAAAGCUUAACUUUGGAAUUGCUUUUUAAAACUGCUAGUCUAGAGAUUUGAAAGAGGAUAGAGGAAUUCCUAGUGUAGAGGUGAAAUUCGUAAAUAUUAGGAGGAACACCAGUGGCGAAGGCGUCUAUCUGGUUCAAAUCUGACGCUGAGGCGCGAAGGGCGUGGGGAGCGAAACAGGGAUUAGAUACC